UACGUAGGGGGCGAGCGUUUGUCCGGAUUUAUUGGGCGUAAAGAGCUCGUAGGCGGUUACGCAAGUCGGGUGGGAAAUCUCCAGGCUCAACCUGGAGCCUUCGCUCGAUACUGCGUUGACUCGAGUCCGGUAGGGGAGUGUGGAAUUCCCGGUGUAGCGGUGAAAUGCGCAGAUAUCGGGAGGAACACCGGUGGCGAAGGCGGGUCUCUGGGCAACAACUGACGCUGAGGAGCGAAAGCGUGGGGAGCAAACAGG
rnacentral:rRNA from 1 species